GACGAACGCUGGCGGCAUGCUUAACACAUGCAAGUCGAACGGAUUAUCGGAAGAGUAGCGAUACUAAGAAGAUAGUUAGUGGCGAACGGGUGAGUAACGCGUGAGCAACCUGCCUUGUACACUGGGAUAACAGGGAGAAAUUCCUGCUAAUACCGGAUAUGACCACAGAGGGGCAUCCCUCAGGGGUGAAAGCGAAUAAGUGGUACAAGAUGGGCUCGCGUCCCAUUAGCUAGUUGGUGAGAUAACAGCCCACCAAGGCGACGAUGGGUAGCCGACUUGAGAGAGUGAUCGGCCACAAUGGAACUGAGACACGGUCCAUACUCCUACGGGAGCAGCAGUGGGAAUAUUGGGGCAAUGGGCGAAAGCCUUACCCAGCAAUGCCGCGUGAUUGAAGAAGGGUCUUCGGAUUGUAAAGGUCUUU
rnacentral:rRNA from 1 species